GGCAUAAGUCUAUCAUGGGUCGAUCCCAGUUGAUAUGUUCUGGAGGCAGCCUAAUGGUCACAGUACAGUACAGUAAUGAUUACAAAGAUGAUAAGAACGAAGGUAAAGUGAUUGAAUAAAUACAAUGUACAAGUUGUCACAAGUUCUAGUAAGUGUGGUCCACUCCUAUUACGAUUUAUUCACUUGUUUCUGAUUUCUAUUGAACUCCUAUAUCAUAUGUGAUUAUCUACAGCUUUAC
rnacentral:lncRNA from 1 species